rnacentral:rRNA from 1 species
CCUACGGGUGGCAGCAGUGAGGAAUAUUGGUCAAUGGCCGCGAGCCUGAACCAGCCAAGUAGCGUGAAGGAUGACUGCCCUGCGGGUUGUAGACUUCUUUUGUAGAGGCAUAAAGUGCGGCACGUGUGCCUUUUUGUCUGUACUUUGUGAAUAAGGAUCGGCUAACUCCGUGCCAGCAGCAGCGGUAAUACGGAGGAUCCGGGCGUUAUCCGGAUUUAUUGGGUUUAAAGGGGGCGUAGGUGGGGUGUUAAGUCAGGUGUGAAAGUUUGCGGCUCAACCGUAAAAGAGCCAUUGAUACUGGCAGGCUUGAGUACAGCGGAGGCAGGCGGAAUGCGUGGUGUAGCGGUGAAAUGCUUAGAUAUCACGAAGAACCCCGAUUGCGAAGGCAGCGUACUAAACUGCCACUGACACUGAUGCACGAAAGUGUGGGGAUCAAACAGGAUUAGAUACCCCUGUAGUC